UUGAUCAACUCAUUGAUGGCUUGUCCCACUAUGGAUUUUUAGCACUCCUGAGAGAGAACCCCAGCUUGCGUGUGCUGCUUGACAUACCAGGAGAGGACAAAGGUCAAGAAGCUGAUUUUGUAGCUGGUAUUCUCAAGCCAAGCUACUCGGUACUGGGGAGCAACAGAAGAGCUAAGGAGGAGUUGAUGGUGGUCAAAUUUAGGGAGUUUCUCCAGUGUGUUGAAAAUAAAGAGCUGAGAGACACAUAUGGGGACAGGACUCUAACCAACGAUGAGGAGGCAUUCCUGAAGACUUUGAGCCCUGGUCACAUCCUGGCGUUUGCUACAGGGAGCAGCAAAGUCCCAGCCAUUGGUUUUCAUCCAACUCCUAAAUUAAUAUUUAUUCAUGAUGAAAAAAAACAUCUUCCCAUUGCGCACACUUGUGCAAAUGAGCUUCACCUUUUUGUGAACACAACAACAAUGGCUGAUGAUGAUGAAUUUAACUACUGCUUCCUAGUAGCACUAAUGAAUGGAUCUUUAUUCAGCACCAUUUAAACAACGAGACGUUUAACAGCUAACAUAAAAGCACAAGGUGUAUUUUUUGCAAGCACAACUGGAGCAUAAGUGUACUGUCCUAGUUUUGAUUUUUACUGUAAAUCUACUACUAAUUUACUGAAAUCAGUUAAUUUGUAAAUGAACCGCUGCAGUGUAAUACACCACUGUUUAGUGCAGGACUCCCCAUGUUCGUCAAACCAGGCUGCUGUGGUGUUCUGUGUACCCUCUGCCCCCCUCAUGGUAACAACCCUAAAACUUUACACUACAGACCAGUGGUUGAUUGUGUCCAUAUGUGUAAGUGUAUUUCAUAGAGGACAUAGUUUGUCCAUAUUAUAAAGCAGUGGUUUCAAUUGCAGUACAUAAGAAAGCUGAAAAAUAAAUACUUCAGCUCGUGUUUUCCCAUCUUGCUCCACAUUCUUUGUUCUGUUUUUGUUUUUAUCUUGUUAUCAAAUUUUCUGUUAAGAGCUCCUUUGCAAUAUAAAUGCAACAUUGUGAUGUACACAUUAUGUAAACACAUCUAUCACUUCAUGAUUUCUGUAAAUCAACAGCCAGCCAUAUGCAAUCAGUAUAGCCUAAUGAAAAAUAAUUAAAAAAAAAUGUUAUAAAUAUGUCCUUUGAGUUCAUUAAAGUUUAAGGACUAAGGUUUGGCUGUACGUAUUAGUAUAAAAGGAUUGAUAGAGCCAUCAGCUCUGUUUUCCAUGUGGUUUCUGUGGUUUUUGAGUGUAAAAACUCUAUUCCUGUUUGUGGAUGUUAAUUACAAAAAGUGUUUACCUCUGUGAAGACUGUAUCUGACCCUUCUUUAUUCUGUAAAAUGUACUGUAUGAUUGGAAGGAUAUGGAAUCGGUCAUCAGUAAUAAACCACUAAUGUAGUUACUUUAA